rnacentral:rRNA from 1 species
UACGUAGGGUGCAAGCGUUGUCCGGAAUUAUUGGGCGUAAAGAGCUCGUAGGCGGUCUGUCGCGUCGGCUGUGAAAUCCCGAGGCUCAACCUCGGGUCUGCAGUCGAUACGGGCAAACUAGAGUAUUGCAGGGGAGACUGGAAUUCCUGGUGUAGCGGUGAAAUGCGCAGAUAUCAGGAGGAACACCCGUGGCGAAGGCGGCUCUCUGGGACUGGUACUGAC